rnacentral:rRNA from 1 species
ACGUAGGGUGCGAGCGUUAAUCGGAAUUACUGGGCGUAAAGUGUGCGCAGGCGGCCGAGCAAGUCGAGUGUGAAAGCCCCGAGCUUAACUGGGAGGGUGCGCCGGAAACUGGAGUGCUCGAGCGCGGGAGAGGAAAGCGGAAUUCCUGGUGUAGCGGUGAAAUGCGUAGAUAUCAGGAGGAACACCUGUGGUGUAGACGGCUUUCUGGACCGUAGCUGACGCUGAGACACGAAAGCGUGGGUAGCAAACAGGA